AGCUCGUGCCGUGAGGUGUGGUUAAGUCCCGCAACGAGCGCAACCCUAUUGCCAGUUGCUACCAGGUAAUGCUGGGCACUCCUGGUGAGACUGCCCGGUUAACGGGGAGGAAGGUGGGGACGACGUCAAGUCAUCAUGGUCCUUACGCCUAGGGCUACACACGUACUACAAUGGCGCAUACAAAGGGCAGCGAUACCGCGAGGUGGAGCCAAUCCCAAAAAGUGCGUCCCAGUCCGGAUUGCAGUCUGCAACUCGACUGCAUGAAGUUGGAAUCGCUAGUAAUUCGAGAUCAGCAUGCUCGGGUGAAUGCGUUCCCGGGCCUU
rnacentral:rRNA from 1 species